GCGGGCGUGGCGAAAUUGGCAGACGCGCCAGAUUUAGGUUCUGGUGGGGUAACCCGUGGGGGUUCAAGUCCCUCCGCCCGCACCA
rnacentral:tRNA from 1 species